GUGACUCCUCAGUACGAAGCAUUAAAAAUUGUAAAUUUUGUAACUUACAAAUAGAAUUGAGGACCUUUUUAAUUUCAGAAUUUUCAGGUAAAAUUAAAAACCUCAAAUGCUUUAAACACCCAAUCCUUUCUAGUGGUAUCUCUAAUGUGGAUCCAUUCAAGUCCAGCAUUCGCAAAUACUGAAAUCUUGACAAACAUAAAUCUAAGGCUGAUUGGCUGCUAAGGCUUUU
rnacentral:misc_RNA from 1 species